CAUCUCCCAUGCUCUGGCAAGCACACAGAUCCAGCAUGUGCUUGGUGCGCUUUCAAGGGAGAGAGAAAAUGGCCUUCCCAAUAAACAGUAGACUUGCCCCAAAGUGGCUUCUUUGUUGUUCCUAGGAGUGUCAUAGCU